UUUCCGUAGGUGAACCUGCGGAAGGAUCAUUACCAAAUCAACGGCCGAAAGGCCUUGCCCUAGGGGGGGAAACCCACCGACGGUAAACCCUUUGUGAAAACCCUUCGUUUGCCUCGGCGGCACGUCCCCUCACGGGGGUGGUCAGCCCGCCGACGGCACCAACCAAAACUCUUUUUUGAAUUGAAGAAUGUCUGAAUCAAUGGUCGAAUGACUAUAAAACUUUCAACAACGGAUCUCUUGGUUCCCGCAUCGAUGAAGAACGCAGC
rnacentral:misc_RNA from 1 species